rnacentral:sRNA from 1 species
AAGUUGCCUGCGUUAGCGAUAGAAGCGACAUCCUUUUUAUAUUUAACUAGAUUCAGUAUUUCUACUAAACAGGUAAAUUACUUAUAAAUAUUUAAAGCUGCUGAAAUAAAAUUAGCAUAAAAAGAUAUAGCGUAAAGCGCGACCUUUU